rnacentral:rRNA from 1 species
CCUUCGGGAGCUGACGAGUGGCGGACGGGUGAGUAACGCGUAGGAAUCUGCCUCAUAGUGGGGGACAACGUGGGGAAACCCACGCUAAUACCGCAUACGCCCUACGGGGGAAAGCGGGGGCUCCGGUUCUUCGGAAUGGGACCUCGCGCUAUGAGAUGAGCCUGCGUUAGAUUAGCUAGUUGGUAGGGUAAAGGCCUACCAAGGCGACGAUCUAUAGCUGGUCUGAGAGGACGAUCGGCCACACUGGGACUGAGACACGGCCCAGACUCCUACGGGAGGCAGCAGUGGGGAAUAUUGGACAAUGGGCGCAAGCCUGAUCCAGCAAUACCGCGUGUGUGAAGAAGGCCUUAGGGUUGUAAAGCACUUUCAAUGGGGAGGAAAACCUGCCGGUCAAUACCCGGUAGCUUGACAUUACCUUUAGAAGAAGCACCGGCUAACUCCGUGCCAGCAGCCGCGGUAAUACGGAGGGUGCGAGCGUUAAUCGGAAUUACUGGGCGUAAAGCGUGCGUAGGCGGUUCGUUAAGUCAGAUGUGAAAGCCCUGGGCUCAACCUGGGAACUGCAUUUGAAACUGGCGGACUAGAGUUUAGUAGAGGGGAGUGGAAUUUCAGGUGUAGCGGUGAAAUGCGUAGAUAUCUGAAGGAACACCAGUGGCGAAGGCGACUCCCUGGACUAGAACUGAUGCUGAGGUACGAAAGCGUGGGUAGCAAACAGGAUUAGAUACCCUGGUAGUCCACGCCGUAAACGAUGUCAACUAGCCGUUGGUCCUAUUUACAGGAUUAGUGGCGCAGCUAACGCAUUAAGUUGACCGCCUGGGGGAGUACGGCCGCAAGGGUUAAAACUC